GAAAGCUCCUCGGCCAGGUGCUAUUGGCCUCUUGGGACAAAUCUGUCCCUGCAGGGCAGUGGGAGGCACUUCCUGCACCACAAGAGAGACAGAUUCUUCGGCAGCCUCAUGCAGUAGUAGCUUUGCCUUCGCUGAGCUGCUGAAACAAACAAAAAUUCCAACGUGGCCAAAUGUCUCUUUGGAAACAAAAGCACCUCAAGGUGAGAACCAUACCUCCAAACCACGCUGCAAUACAUGUCUUUAAAUACAAAGCUUCCUUCCAUAUUUGAAAAUAUUUCUAAAAGUUAACACCUCAGAACCACUUUGUAGGUAGAAAAUUGAGGUUUACAGGGUAAAAUACUUUGCCAAGUUUUCACAGUGAUGAAGGAACAGAGUUAGAAUUUUAUGUCCAAUCGAUGUGUAAGUUCUGUGUUUUAGAACACUUUUGAAAAAUUAUUUACUUGCUUACUUUAUUUACUUAUUUAUGGUGCUAGGGAUUGGACCCGGGGCCUUUCCUUUGCGCCCAGCCACAUCCUACCCCUUUUAUUUUUUAUUUUGAGACAGGGUCUUGGUGAGUUGCUAAGUCAGCCACUCUCAGCUUCAGUUUUAGAUCUACCUUCCUGUCUCAGCCUCCCAGAAUGCUGGAUCACAGGUGUGCCACCACACCUAGCUAAUAGUGCAGCUCUUACUCAGUUCUCCCCGUUCUAGUCCAGUCAGCUGACUCAGGCCCAGGACACCGGCCAGGGGCUUUAGGGGGCGUGGCCCCAGGGCACUGGCACAGGGCCGGGAGGAAGUGGGGAAAGGGAACUCAGCAGUGGAGGGUGCAGUCCCAGUGCACCCCACAGAAGGGAACUGGCCCUGCAGGGAGUGCUGAAGCCUGCCAGUGCUUAGGCUCACCCAGCUGGAAGCAGGGAGCAGUUUGCACGGAAACCUGGGGUCUCCUCUCCGGUCACUGCGAAGGGCAAGAGGCAUCUUCACACCAGAUCCUCCUAACAGCGUCCACCCCUGCGGCUUACGGGUCGCAGCUGUAGACUGACAGGGACCCCACGCUGGAUGUGGACCAUGAGGCUGCGCUCCAGAGCUCCACCUCAGCCUCCUGGGGCCUGACAGCAAGAGAAAACCCGAGGCUGCUUGAGUGUGCGUGUCUGUGUGUGUGUCUGUCUGUGUGUGUGUGUGAACAUUCACCCGCAUUUGGGAGCCAGCUCCGAGGCAGAAGUGGCUCCGAAGUCCCUCCCCUAAGGUCUGACUGGAAGGUUUUGCCCCAAGGAAAUAGCAGCUACCUCACUCGGAGACAGCUGGGACCUCCUCGGAGUUCAUGUGUAACUGGGCAGUUAGAAGCUGCCGUCGUCGUCUUCAGAUUCAUGAAUAAACCACGCGUCCCCUGCGCACAGUGUGACCUGGGAGGAAAAUGAGCUCCACUGAGGGGGAGUCUAGGGUGCCCGGGCAUCAGGACCCGCCACCCUGCCACGCCACCUAAGUCCUGCCUCCCUUCUCCUCCCAACAGCUCCACUGUGGUGUUUAUUUGGGAUUCGGCCUUUUGGUUGGGCUUUGAAAGCCCACCCCUGAAGUCUGAGUAUUCACACUGAAAUCAGAUGUAAACCGCGCCUGGCCCCUGUUCCCUACAGCUGCAGGAAGUGGGCGGAGCAGCUCUUCUCUGCUAUCCCUUCCCACCAUGCUCUCUCUACUUUGGAGCAAGACAGACACAGACUAAAGCGUCUAAAACCACGAGCCAAAAAUCAUCCUCUUUUCUCUUAAACUGUAGCUGUCAAGCAUUUUACCCCAUGAAUGGAAAAGUGACUCAUCCAAUUGCAAAGUUCAUAUUGGUCCAAACACCAUACAACAGAUGUAGAUGGAUAAUGUUUUCGCCUGAUUUGUUCUUCUGUGUGCAAGCAAAGCUAUUUUCCUGGUUAAUUACUCAUAUGAACAAUAGCAUUAUGUUAUGAAAAUGUCAUGUAGCUAUGAGUACCUAUGAUUUUUAGAAGAAAUAUAAAGAAUAAAAGAUGAGCGAGCCUUAGAUGGAACUAGGGCAAUGCAUCCUGAGGGGAAAUACUUUCGGCUAAAAAUCUGCUAUGCUGAAUGUCAAAUUUGUACAUUUUCUAUUAACUUUAGAUAAUUUACUUAAUUUUGCCUUAGUAAAUCUCAACUUAAAACAUCCUUUCAUUUGCCUAAAAAUAAGUCAUUGUCUUCAUUUUGCUUCCUGUAAGGGGAUCACAGGGAUGUGUUUUGAUCUUGGAACUCCCUGCUAGAAUAGUAAACUGAAGUUGAUAAGCAUCUUAAGAUAAACUCCACUUUGUACAAAAAUAACAUACAGUGAAAGAUAUGCCAGGAUGGUUUCUUAGUCUUUUUUUAAGCCAGAAUUCAAUUUUUUAUUUUAUGAAACCACUCCUAGUAAAACCUAAUUUUCAACCAAGAAGAUCCUUUCUAAUGAAAAAGUCCUCUUUGAGAGUUAAAUUUCCUUUUGGAGAAAGAAGUCAAAUGGCCUGGAGGUUGGCAUUGUGACAGUCGUCUCAGCGUCCCAGGGAAAGAGACUUGGAAUGGAAGGGAAACCGGGCACCCAUAAAUAUCUCUACAGCAAAAUCAGAUGCCCUGCACCUUUGGAAAGCAUUUGCAGAAAUUCUUGAAACAGGGUAAUGCAAGAGCAGGGCAGAGGAAGCCAAAGGAAUUUCCCGAGUCAGGUGGUGGGAGAGCAGGCUGGAGCCGGAGCAUUCCGGAAAUCUACUUCUCUUGGAGAAGAAUUCGCAGCUGGGGGAUGAAGGUUUAAAUCGACAGGUUGUCUGUGAGAAGGUGUGAAAGGGAAAGCCAGCAGGAUGGAGUUGCUGCGUCAGAUGUGUCCUCUGCCCUGAGGACUGAGGUCCUCGAAGGAGGCUGCCGGGUCCGAGGGAAGAGCAGCUCACUGGACAGCAGGCUCUGGUCUGUCCUCAGCCGGCCUCCGUACAGGAAGCGUCUCUUCUGACCACGCCCUGCUCCCUGACUCCCUGCAAAGAGGUGCUUUCAUUUGGGGCUGGAUUAUGAUAUAUCGCCUGGCUCCUAAUCCCAUUCUUACCACAAGAAUGGGAAGGUGGCCCUUGCCAGGAUAACAGAAUUCUUCUCUGGGAUUCUUUUUUCGUUGAAAUGAAGGGCAGCUAUGUUUUCAACUCGUUUUGUAGUUGUUCAUUGUGUUAGGAAGAGCAAUUCCCCUCCUGCCUGCAGAAUACCCUCACGCUAAUUCACACAGACUGUGAACAUGUCAGGAUAUACGUGGUCAAAAGAAUUAAGUUGCAGAUGGAUUUAAGAUCUCUAAUCUGCGGACACUGAAGUAGGGAGACCCUCCUGGAUUCUGCAUUUGAGCCCACAGUAAUCCCUUCAAUGUGGGCAGUGAGGCAGAGCCGAAGUCAGAGUGCUGGGAUGAACAGGACCACAGUGCCCCUGCGGGUUGAGAGACAAGGGAGAGCACUAGAAGUCCGGGAACACAGACACAACUUAGAACUUGGACAAGACAGGAAGCACAUCUGCCUGCAGCAGGAGCCCAGCAAUGCUGAUGCCCGAGUUUUAAUCCUGGAAAUGGAAGAUCAGGGUUCCGUCAGGGUAACCGUCGGGAUGGGGGUUCUUCCUACUCAUGUUAGGACAUCAGUUCUACUGGACUGAGCCCCAUCCUUACAACCUGCCUGAAGUUUAAUGCUGGCUCAUCAGCCCAGCUCUAGGUGCAUUGGAAUUCGGCUCCCAUCUGUGAAUUUGGGGGAGGCUGCAGCCAGUCCAUAAUGCCAGGUGGGGUGGAAUGUGCUUUGGUCUUCUGAGCUGCACAACUUUAAGAUAAUGCAUUUGUUAUUUUAAGUCACUAAAUAUGUGGUAAUGUGUCACAGUAGUAAUAGAAA